AACGCGAAGAACCUUACCAAGCCUUGACAUCCUUCUGACCGUUCCUUAAUCGGAACUUCUCUUCGGAGCAGGAGUGACAGGUGGUGCAUGGUUGUCGUCAGCUCGUGUCGUGAGAUGUUGGGUUAAGUCCCGCAACGAGCGCAACCCCUAUUGCUAGUAGCCAGCACAUCAUGGUGGGCACUCUAGCGAGACUGCCAGGGACAACCUGGAGGAAGGCGGGGAUGACGUCAAAUCAUCAUGCCCCUUAUGGCUUGGGCUACACACGUGCUACAAUGGCGUAAACAGAGGGAAGCAACCACGCGAGUGUAAGCAAAUCUCAAAAAUAACGUCUCAGUUCGGAUUGCAGUCUGAAACUCGACUGCAUGAAGCUGGAAUCGCUAGUAAUCGCAGAUCAGAAUGCUGCGGUGAAUACGUUCCCGGGUCUUGUACACACCG
rnacentral:rRNA from 1 species